UACGAAGGGGGCUAGCGUUGCUCGGAAUCACUGGGCGUAAAGCGCACGUAGGCGGUCUUUUAAGUCAGGGGUGAAAUCCUGGAGCUCAACUCCAGAACUGCCUUUGAUACUGAGAGGCUUGAGUCCGGGAGAGGUGAGUGGAACUGCGAGUGUAGAGGUGAAAUUCGUAGAUAUUCGCAAGAACACCAGUGGCGAAGGCGGCUCACUGGCCCGGUACUGACGCUGAGGUGCGAAAGCGUGGGGAGCAAACGGG
rnacentral:rRNA from 1 species